rnacentral:rRNA from 1 species
ACCAGACUCCUACGGGAGGCAGCAGUGAGGAAUAUUGGUCAAUGGUCGGGAGACUGAACCAGCCAAGCCGCGUGAGGGAGGAAGGUACAGAGUAUCGUAAACCUCUUUUGUCAGGGAACAAAGACUGGGACGCGUCCCCGGAUGAGUGUACCUGAAGAAAAAGCAUCGGCUAACUCCGUGCCAGCAGCCGCGGUAAUACGGAGGAUGCGAGCGUUAUCCGGAUUUAUUGGGUUUAAAGGGUGCGCAGGCGGCACGGCAAGCCGGCGGUCAAAUCGCGGGGCUCAACCUCGCUCCGCCGUUGAAACUGGCGUUCUUGAGUGGGCGAGAAGUAUGCGGAAUGCGUGGUGUAGCGGUGAAAUGCAUAGAUAUCACGCAGAACUCCGAUUGCGAAGGCAGCAUACCGGCGCCCAACUGACGCUGAAGCACGAAAGCGUGGGUAUCGAACAGGAUUAGAUACCCCGGUAC